rnacentral:rRNA from 1 species
CUAAUACCGCAUACGCCCUACGGGGGAAAGCAGGGGAUCGCAAGACCUUGCACUAUUGGAGCGGCCGAUAUCGGAUUAGCUAGUUGGUGGGGUAACGGCUCACCAAGGCGACGAUCCGUAGCUGGUUUGAGAGGACGACCAGCCACACUGGGACUGAGACACGGCCCAGACUCCUACGGGAGGCAGCAGUGGGGAAUUUUGGACAAUGGGGGAAACCCUGAUCCAGCCAUCCCGCGUGUGCGAUGAAGGCCUUCGGGUUGUAAAGCACUUUUGGCAGGAAAGAAACGUCAUGGGUUAAUACCCCGUGAAACUGACGGUACCUGCAGAAUAAGCACCGGCUAACUACGUGCCAGCAGCCGCGGUAAUACGUAGGGUGCAAGCGUUAAUCGGAAUUACUGAGCGUAAAGCGUGCGCAGGCGGUUCGGAAAGAAAGAUGUGAAAUCCCAGAGCUUAACUUUGGAACUGCAUUUUUGA